AGUGCUAACAAUUUUGUUAUCUAUAAACUGGAUUCCUCAGGUUUUAUUAUUUUCCUUGCUCUAAUUUGGUUUUUGCAAGAAAGGACAACAGUUCAUAUUCUCCGUUCGCCAUUCUAUUCAUCGGUGUCAUGAACAGUCUGUUUUCAGUCUAUGAUAUCUAUGAUGAUCUAAUAUCUCGAGGAGUCAACUCCAAUGAUGCCAAGAAGUUUGCAGAAAUUUGUACUUGCCCCUGCAAUGGAGUUGGAGGGGGGUUUAUAUGGGGAAUGAUGUCAUUCAUAUUUCUUGGUGCAUCAAUGUAUCUAGGACUUCUCAUCUUAGCUUGACCUGAGGUUCUGGGAUUGGUUGAAAGUCAUCUUGGUACUGGCAAGUUAUUAUUGUACAUCAUUCAGCACUGUGUUAAAAUGGAGGAUGCCAUUUUUCCUUAUUCAGAACAUAGUUUAUUUGUUUGUAAUUUGAUUCAUCAUUCAUCCAGCAAUGUAUUGUAGUGCAAUUCUGUUUUUGGUAUUAGAUAGUAACAGCUUGGCUUCAUUCUUUGUAACCCUUUCUCAUUUGGGCUCAGAUUCCUUUUUUUUUUUUUUUCAGAUUGCACUAGACUAAACCAGAUUGUAAAGUAAUAUUAUUUCCAGUUUUAAUUCAUUUUCAGCCCAUGAUUCUGAGU